rnacentral:lncRNA from 1 species
CUCUGCAACGGAUUCCACGCGGCUCCACCACUCUCUGGUAAGCCACGACGAGGGCCGCUACCCUGCUCCACUCUCUGCAAUGGAUUCCGUGUGGCUCCACUACUCUCUGGCAAGUCGUGACAACGGCCACCACUCCACUCUCCGUAACCAACUCCACGUGGCCCUGAACGACCCUUGAUGCCACUACUUUCCGUAACAAACUCCAGACAGCUCUGAAUAGCCCACGACCAGGUGGUUGCAGACAUCACUGUCAAUCGGUUAUGCUCUCCAUCUAUAAAUAAGGACCUUG